rnacentral:rRNA from 1 species
UGCCAGCCGCCGCGGUAAUACGUAGGGUGCGAGCGUUGUCCGGAAUUACUGGGCGUAAAGGGCUCGUAGGUGGUUUGUCGCGUCGUCUGUGAAAUUCCGGGGCUUAACUCCGGGCGUGCAGGCGAUACGGGCAUAACUUGAGUACUGUAGGGGUAACUGGAAUUCCUGGUGUAGCGGUGAAAUGCGCAGAUAUCAGGAGGAACACCGAUGGCGAAGGCAGGUUACUGGGCAGUUACUGACGCUGAGGAGCGAAAGCAUGGGUAGCGAACAGGAUUAGAUA